rnacentral:lncRNA from 1 species
AGGUAAGAGGCUUCGAAGCACCCCCCAACCUAACCUGCGUGGGGUGUAUUGCUCCCCACUAGGGGCAUGUGGUCCAAUUUAUUUUUCUUGUCAAUAUUCGGUUGAGAUAAUCAGUACUAGAGGGCCUCCUUCCCUUCAGCCUCCUUCUUGGCAUUCUCAUCCCUCUCAUCGCCUCCCCCCAUCCAGGAGCCCUGCACCCCAACUGAGGAGCACGUGGCAGAAGGAGAAUGAGGGGGCCCUCUCUUGCAGACCCCCACGCUGUAUGUACCUCAGUGCAUUUGUUUCAGCAUUUAUCCUCAUGGUAGCAGCUGUACUUUUCAACCCACUGGAAGGAGAUGCCUAAGCUGAUGAACAGUUUCUCCCAAGAAGCUGGGGGCAAAGAAUGGAAGGAAUGCAGAUUUCAUUAACUAGUGACUCUGGAGAUGCGGGCUAGGGGAACCUUCCCAAAUGGGAAAACUCCAAAGAUUUCUGAAAGACCAGGAUAACUGGAGGCUCAGAAACCCAGGUUAAGAAACUGGAACUGGAUCAACCUUAACCCUCUCCCCACUGCCAACCCUGUCCCCUAGCUCUAAGGAAGCUAACAGGUCUUUUGUAUUGUGUCGCCUUUGGAGAAUUUGCAUAGAGUAUGACAACAGCAAAUUACUACUGUUUACUCAAAGUUAAGGGGAUUGCAGAAAGAGAAAACAUGGUUUUUUACUUUUUCUCUUUGUAUGCGUGUGUUUGGCAAGGAGUGGAGUUGUUAGGUUCAUGGCAUGAACUGCAAAACGUCAGUUUAUAACAAUAAAGACUGCAAAGCCGCCUAGGUAUAUUUUUAGAAGCUGUACUUUCUUGAGUUCCUUUCACACAAGGCUUGCUCUCAUUAAGUCCCCAUAAAUAAUUGUAUUUAGAAGGAAACUAUAGAAGCAGGAAAGAGAUUGCUAAGAUUUCCAUCCUGCCAGUGCAGAGCACUGUUUGCUGGGAAGUUCCUGGAAAGUGACUGUGGGCUGAGAAUUCAGUUUUUCCUAAAAGCUCUGUUAGGUCCUCUUCUGUCAGAUGCCUAUGAAUAAAACACGCUGGGAAAAUCCUGAUAUCUGUGCAGUCUUAUUUUAUCUUUUACACAGUGGUUGAUUUGCGUUUCAAGCUCUGGUAACAAACACAUCAACUGUGCUGUAUUUUUGUGUGGCUUUUCUAAAUAAAGGAGAAUAGCAUGUGCAUUCAUGCUGCUUUCUGAUAUGCACCCCCACCUUCUAUCCAGGGAUAUUGAACUUACUGGAAUUUACCCAUCUUUUUCUAUUGAUCAUCAUUUUCUGCAGAGACAAUUCCAAAGACACAAUACAAAAAAAUAUGCAUUAGUGUUCUUUUGGGGAACUAGC